AUUGAACGCUGGCGGCAGGCCUAACACAUGCAAGUCGAGCGGAUGAAGGGAGCUUGCUCCUGGAUUCAGCGGCGGACGGGUGAGUAAUGCCUAGGAAUCUGCCUGGUAGUGGGGGAUAACGUCCGGAAACGGGCGCUAAUACCGCAUACGUCCUGAGGGAGAAAGUGGGGGAUCUUCGGACCUCACGCUAUCAGAUGAUCCUAGGUCGGAUUAGCUAGUUGGUGGGGUAAAGGCCGACCAAGGCGACGAUCCGUAACUGGUCUGAGAGGAUGAUCAGUCACACUGGAACUGAGACACGGUCCAGACUCCUACGGGAGGCAGCAGUGGGGAAUAUUGGACAAUGGGCGAAAGCCUGAUCCAGCCAUGCCGCGUGUGUGAAGAAGGUCUUCGGAUUGUAAAGCACUUUAAGUGGGGAGGAAGGGCAGUAAGUUAAUACCUUGCUGUUUUGACGUUACCAACAGAAUAAGCACCGGCUAACUUCGUG
rnacentral:rRNA from 1 species